rnacentral:rRNA from 1 species
UACGUAGGGUGCGAGCGUUGUCCGGAAUUAUUGGGCGUAAAGAGCUUGUAGGCGGUUUGUCGCGUCUGCUGUGAAAUCUCAAGGCUCAACCUUGAGCUUGCAGUGGGUACGGGCAGACUAGAGUGCGGUAGAGGAUAGUGGAAUUCCCGGUGUAGCGGUGAAAUGCGUAGAGAUCGGGAGGAACACCAGUGGCGAAGGCGGCUACCUGGACCAGCACUGACACUGAGGCACGAAAGCGUGGGGAGCAAACAGG